UUUGCAGAGCAUUUGUUGAAUUUUGAAUUGAACAUUCUCCUGAUUUCACUGGAAUUAAAAGGUAGAACUCAGAGUAUGUUUGGCUCCUGUCACUUAAAGCAGUCAGCAUCAUUAACUGGUAAUCUUGGGACCCCUGGUUUGAACAAGUGCAUGACAAUUCUUAGGAUGCCUGUGCUGAAAGUCUUCUCUUAGUGGACCUUGAUGGGGUUUGGCUUCAUUUGCUCCAGAAUGGAUUGCCCUUGUUGCUGUUGCUGCAGGCUUAUGAUCUGGACCCAGCCCCAGGACUCGAGCAGGACUGAAGGACACAUGGAUGCGGAUUUGCCUCUCCCCGAGGUGCUGCUGGCUGGGUCACUGCCUGCUGGAGGGUGUCUCUAAGACCUGACUUAACCUGAAGCAUGCACUUCCUCAGGAGGUCUGCAGCAGGGCUGGAGGACUGCAAACACUGCAUCCCUUCCGUCCUGGCAGCUGCUGCCACAUGACUGCAGUGCCUGUGCUGUGCUCUCAGCUCCCUCCCCCUGAAAUGUUCCUCCUGGUGGUUUGUAAGGAGCUGCCUUGGAGCAGGCUUUGCUUUUGGUAGCAGUAUCCCUUGUUGCCAUGUCAUUCAUGAAGAUGACUUUAUCCUUGCCUUUAUUCAACUGGGACCAGCUGCUCUACCCACAGGCACCAAAAGUGGCAAAUCUUCCAUAACCUUUUUUAAUUUUCAAUUGAAACUCUACAUCACGUGAACUUCUUGGGGUUUUUUUGAGAGGUAAAGACUUUUCUUUUUUCUUCUUUU